UAUCUAUUGGGAUGUCUCUGAGGUUAU
rnacentral:piRNA from 1 species